CUGCUACAUCAUUACUUUCUACCAAGGCUUCCUAGCCCUUUCAUAUCAUGGCACACAAAGGAAAUGACAAUAUUGGGAUGGUAAAAGUACGUUAAAUAGGGGCAGAAGCUUGUGGCUAGUGGGGGUUGCAAGGACUCUGGUGCCUCAGGCCCCGUCCUGAUGGCUGGAUAUGUCUGUGACUGCUCUCAAUACUCAUAAUUUGGUGCAAGACCUGGCCCUAAGAACCACUAUGGAUGCACUGUGAAUGGAAUGGUUCCCCUGAACUGUUCCUUUCAUGUUUAACUUCAGAUCUUUCUGUCCCCUUCCCUCUCAAGUCCAGCCCCACGGCAUCCCUGAAAAUCUGGAGACCAUAGACGGAAGUAUCCUCUCCCUUCCAGCCUUCCUAACACUCCAAAUAGACCUUUCUUGCCAAAUAAGUGGCCACACUUUCACAAAAUUAAUUUGUUUGAUAGAAGCAAUCUAAUUACACUUACAGUAAGCUGUGAAAGACUGACAUGCUAGUCACUCUUCUAGAAGGAUAAGGAGAUUUAAGUGAAAGGAGUGAGCCUUAUAAAUCCAAGAAAUCCAGUGACAUUGCCAGGUAAAGGAGAUGGCCUCCUUCUGCUACCUCCAUAAAUCCAGAUGAGGUACACUUUUAGGCUUAUGGGUUAUGUUUCACUACCUGAAAAUCUGGGAGCUCAGAGUGCCAAUAGUUUAUCGAAUGGUGAACACCUUCUCUGUACCUGGGACUACACUGUGUGUUGAGGAUACAAUGAUGUUGGGGAAGACAUGAACCUGUGUUAGAGCAGAACCUGGCAACUGGCUGAAUUUCAAGGAUGGGUAAAUUUUGCUCUGGAUUCAAUGCAGUCAGCCCCGGGCUGUGCUGACCAGAGCAGCAGAGUGGGACCCUGAGCUGACCAGGAGCUGACAUAGUCCGACCACCUCCAAGGACUUGUCUUUGGUCCGGGCACCUUCUUCUUGCUCAGGUUUCAGAUGCUACUCUCUUGCCUCUCCACUCCACAGCUACUACCACACGCUUUCCUCUGGGGCUCUGCUUUUCCCAGACUGGCUGCAGAAUAGCAGGCAACACCCACGCCUUCCCUGCAGGUCUACCUCACCCCUACACGCCGAAUCUACAAUUUUUUUCUCCUAUGUUAACCAUCACAAGGGAAACAGGGAUACAGGGUAAAAAUCAGGAAUCAAGUUGUGAAAGUUCACAA